UACGUAGGGGGCAAGCGUUGUCCGGAUUUAUUGGGCGUAAAGGGCGCGCAGGCGGUCCGUUAAGUCCGAGGUGAAAUCUCCCGGCUCAACUGGGAGGGGUCUUCAGAUACUGGCGGACUUGAGGAGUGCAGAGGUGAGUGGAAUUCUCGGUGUAGUGGUGAAAUGCGUAGAUAUCGAGAGGAACACCAGUGGCGAAGGCGGCUCACUGGGCACCACCUGACGCUGAGGCGCGAAAGCGUGGGGAGCGAACCGG
rnacentral:rRNA from 1 species